CUUGAGCAAAAAAUAAAAUGAACCGACAGCAAACUUUCGAUAUAUCCAAAGCCGAUAUUUCUUCUCCUCUGUUCGAAACUAAGAAGUCGAAUUCUUCAUAAUUCUUUGAUCUAUGAGCGUUUUUGCAUCCAAUCGAAGGAUGGAGUUUAAAUGGUCACAAAUACAAAACCACAGAUGGUUCAGAUGAUGAAAGGCAAAGACUUUUUGCACAACCAGACGAAGAAAAUGUUUCUACUGCAAUGAAAAUAUAAACUUUUUUUGUUUCUCUGCUCUUAACUCAGUCUUUUUGUGGUUUUAGCUUAGAGUUUUUAACCUUUCUUUAGGAGAUAAUGUAUAAAGAUUUUAACCUUUCUUUACAGGAACCUUUCUUUAGGAGCUUAUGUCGGCUACCAGAGGAGGUCCUGACCAAGGUCCAUCCCAGCCACAUCAGCGACAGAUCGUACGGACUCAGCCGCUGGUAACCUCGGAGAAUCAUUCGACAGUGAAGUUGUCCCCUCCUCUCUCGUCGAGAUUUCCCCUAUUCUCCGUGUUGCUAAUGAGGUCGAAUCUAGCUACAAUUGAGUUGCUUGUCUCUCAGUGACCGACAUGUUUUGAAUGGUCUUCCACUCGCCAAUCACACAUUGACUACCCAAGCUAAGCAACUGAUUCUGUCUGCAUGUUGCGUAGAUUUUAUCACUCUGCAUUAUAAAAAUAUUUUUAUAGAGUAUAAUAAGUCUUUUUGGUUAAAAAAAUCCAGUAUAUAGAAGUAUAAAUGAUUCGAUUACCUUCGUAUCAGCAAAGAUGAUUUCGAGAGUUUCACCAUAUGAUGCGUUGACUUGCUUCCAGGUGUGGAUCGUUUUGACCUGAAUACAACAGUCGCUUGUGCGAGGCUUCAACUGUGAAAGGUUUAUGUUUUGGAAUAGGAGCUUUUGCUGAAUUAUGGAGAUGAACUGAAAAUGGUGACGUUGUUAUGGGAUAGUUAUAUUUUUAUAAAUGAUAGAAUAUUAGCUAUAGUUUUUCUUUUCCAAAUCGUUGGAUAGUUAGUCAGAUUAGUAGGUAGAGGUAGUUAAAUUGGUCCUUUUUUUUUUAUUGUCACGUUUACCCUUACUGAAUUUUUAAAAAUUAGGCA